GCCCAAGAGAUCGGGAUAACACCUUGAAACAGAUGCUAAUACCGGAUAACAACAGAUGAUGCCUAUCAACUGUUUAAAAGAUGGUUCUGCUAUCACUCUUGGAUGGACCUGCGGUGCAUUAGCUAGUUGGUAGGGUAACGGCCUACCAAGGCGAUGAUGCAUAGCCGAGUUGAGAGACUGAUCGGCCACAUUGGGACUGAGACACGGCCCAAACUCCUACGGGAGGCAGCAGCU
rnacentral:rRNA from 1 species